AACGAACGCUGGCGGCAUGCCUAACACACGCAAGUCGAACGAGACCUUCGGGUCUAGUGGCGCACGGGUGCGUAACGCGUGGGAGUCUGCCCUUGGGUCCGGAAUAACUCAGAGAAAUUUGAGCUAAUACCGGAUGAUGACGUAAGUCCAAAGAUUUAUCGCCCAGGGAUGAGCCCGCGUAGGAUUAGCUAGUUGGUGAGGUAAAGGCUCACCAAGGCGACGAUCCUUAGCUGGCUGAGAGGAUGAUCAGCCACACUGGGACUGAGACACGGCCCAGACUCCUACGGGAGGCAGCAGGUGGGGAAUAUUGGACAAUGGGCGAAAGCCUGAUCCAGCAAUGCCGCGUGAGUGAU
rnacentral:rRNA from 1 species